AGCAAUAACAAUAGAUGGCGCACGGGUGCGUAACACGUAACUAACCUACCUAUACCUGGGGGAUAGCCCGCCGAAAGGCGGAUUAAUACCGCAUAAGGCUUUUACCUGGCAUCGGGUGAUAGUUAAAGAUUUAUUGGGUAUAGAUGGGGUUGCGGGUCAUUAGCUAGUUGGUAAGGUAACGGCUUACCAAGGCGACGAUGACUAGGGGAGCUGAGAGGCUGGUCCCCCACACGGGCACUGA
rnacentral:rRNA from 1 species